UACGGAGGGGGCUAGCGUUGUUCGGAAUUACUGGGCGUAAAGCGCGCGUAGGCGGCUUUGUAAGUUAGAGGUGAAAGCCCGGAGCUCAACUCCGGAAUUGCCUUUAAGACUGCAUCGCUAGAAUCAUGGAGAGGUGAGUGGAAUUCCGAGUGUAGAGGUGAAAUUCGUAGAUAUUCGGAAGAACACCAGUGGCGAAGGCGACUCACUGGACAUGUAUUGACGCUGAGGUGCGAAAGCGUGGGAGCAAACAGG
rnacentral:rRNA from 1 species